rnacentral:rRNA from 1 species
GGCAGCAGUAGGGAAUCUUCCGCAAUGGACGAAAGUCUGACGGAGCAACGCCGCGUGAGUGAUGAAGGUUUUCGGAUCGUAAAGCUCUGUUGUUAGGGAAGAACAAGUACCGUUCGAAUAGGGCGGUACCUUGACGGUACCUAACCAGAAAGCCACGGCUAACUACGUGCCAGCAGCCGCGGUAAUACGUAGGUGGCAAGCGUUGUCCGGAAUUAUUGGGCGUAAAGGGCUCGCAGGCGGUUUCUUAAGUCUGAUGUGAAAGCCCCCGGCUCAACCGGGGAGGGUCAUUGGAAACUGGGGAACUUGAGUGCAGAAGAGGAGAGUGGAAUUCCACGUGUAGCGGUGAAAUGCGUAGAGAUGUGGAGGAACACCAGUGGCGAAGGCGACUCUCUGGUCUGUAACUGACGCUGAGGAGCGAAAGCGUGGGGAGCGAACAGGAUUAGAUACCCUGGUAGUCCACGCCGUAAACGAUGAGUGCUAAGUGUUAGGGGGUUUCCGCCCCUUAGUGCUGCAGCUAACGCAUUAAGCACUCCGCCUGGGGAGUACGGUCGCAAGACUGAAACUCAAAGGAAUUGACGGGGGCCCGCACAAGCGGUGGAGCAUGUGGUUUAAUUCGAAGCAACGCGAAGAA